rnacentral:rRNA from 1 species
UACGGGGGGAGCAAGCGUUGUUCGGAUUUACUGGGCGUAAAGGGCGCGUAGGCGGCGUGACAAGUCACUUGUGAAAUCUCCGGGCUUAACUCGGAACGGUCAAGUGAUACUGUCGUGCUAGAGUACAGAAGGGGCAACUGGAAUUCUCGGUGUAGCGGUGAAAUGCGUAGAUAUCGAGAGGAACACCUGGCGGCGAAGGCGGGUUGCUGGGCUGAUACUGACGCUGGAGGCGCGAAAGCUAGGGGAGCGAACGGG